CAGCCGCCGCGGUAAUACCGGCGGCCCGAGUGGCGGCCGUGUUUAUUGGGCCUAAAGGGUCCGUAGCCGGCCCCGUAAGUCUCCCGGGAAAUCGGGCGGCUCAACCGUCCGCUUCCGGGAGAUACUGCGGGGCUAGGGACCGGGAGAGGCCGGGGGUACUCCCGGGGUAGGGGUAAAAUCCUAUAAUCCCAGGGGGACCGCCAGUGGCGAAGGCGCCCCGCUGGAACGGGUCCGACGGUGAGGGACGAAGGCCAGGGGAGCAAACCGGAUUAGAUACCCGGGUAGUCCUGGCUGUAAAGGAUGCGGGCUAGGUGUCGGGUGAGCUUCGAGCUCGCCCGGUGCCGUAGGGAAGCCGUUAAGCCCGCCGCCUGGGGAGUACGGCCGCAAGGCUGAAACUUAAAGGAAUUGGCGGG
rnacentral:rRNA from 1 species